CCCCUCUCAGGGUCACACCUGGAGAGUUUCCAAUACUCUACCAGUCUCAACUACGGGAGGGAGAGUCAAGCAGAGGCAGAUCCAUUCCUAGCUUGGGCAGUGGCUAGCGAGUGGAAGGCAAUCUGCAACAAGU